rnacentral:lncRNA from 1 species
AACCGAAUCCCGUUUAUAUACAUUACACAUGCUUAUUUGUAGGUCUCACAUGUCAUAUGGGGGUUUACAGUAUGCAUGUGUGUAUACGAGUAUUAUAUGAGUCCUUUUUAUGUUAUAGUAACAUUGGUAAAGAAUUGAAUACAAUUACCAUAGAAUAGUAAGUAUAUUAAACUGAACUUAGGGUUUCUUUCUUUCUUGUCAAUGGCGGCUAAUAGCGUUUUUCCACAUCCAAAUCCACAUCGUAGGCGGCUGCUGCUGCCUUCGUCACCAUCGUGGUCGGAGAUCCCAGAAGAAUUAUUGUGGCUGAUCUUCGAACGUAUCUCAGACUGGUCCGAUCUUUAUCCAUGUCUUGCCGUGUGUCCGUUGUGGCGCUCCCCACCGCCCGACCGGUGUUGAGCAGGAUAAUAGUAAGUGUUUUUCUAUUGCUUAUAAAUCCGGAGCAAAAACAAGAACCCUGCAAAUUCUUGGAUUCGAGUGCAACAACAUUUUGCAUAAAGGCCCGUAUGGAACUGGCCAAUUAUACUGUAAUACCCGGAAAAAAAAUUUAUAUUCUUAAAACUUAUUGUUUGGACUUUUUCUUUUAUUUGAGUCAAACUUGUUAUUUAAUUUAUUUGGGCU